GAUGAACGCUAGCGGCAGGCCUAAUACAUGCAAGUCGAACGGUCGUAGCAAUACGAUAGUGGCGCACGGGUGCGUAACGCGUAACCAACCUGCCCUUGACUGGGGGAUAGCCCGCCGAAAGGCGGAUUAAUACCGCAUAAAACCACAGUGUGGCAUCACAUAAAUGGUUAAAAGAUUUAUUGGUCAAGGAUGGGGUUGCGUGACAUUAGCUAGUUGGCGGGGUAAAGGCCCACCAAGGCGACGAUGUCUA
rnacentral:rRNA from 1 species